UCUCCACUUCUAGUGCGACUCAGACUUUGUAGAGGUCUGGUAAGUUAGUCCCACCUCAAAGUCACCGAGGUUUUCUCGAGGGUAUGAUAAGUUAGCCCUUAUGAGUGGUAUUGUGUGCCUGUGGCGAUCUUAUGCCUACGACAUCUAGCACUUCUCAUCUUCAUGCGAGAUGCAGUGUGUGCCAGCGGCGAACUUGUGUCUACGGCAUCUU
rnacentral:lncRNA from 1 species